UACGUAGGGUGCGAGCGUUGUCCGGAAUUAUUGGGCGUAAAGGGCUCGUAGGCGGUUUGUCGCGUCGGGAGUGAAAAUCCAGGGCUUAACUCUGGACUGGCUUUCGAUACGGGCAGACUAGAGGUAUGCAGGGGAGAACGGAAUUCCUGGUGUAGCGGUGAAAUGCGCAGAUAUCAGGAGGAACACCAGCGGCGAAGGCGGCGCUCUGGGCCGGAACUGACGCUGAGGAGCGAAAGCGUGGGUAGCAAACAGG
rnacentral:rRNA from 1 species